CGCCUCCACUCGUCCGCGGCGGCUCUCGGCGCGCCGGCCCCGCUCAGGCUCUGGUGUCCCCUCUCUCCGGACCUUCUCUCCGGGCUCGGGUCCCCUCCGCGGGCUCCCCCGGCGGCCGGCCCGGCCCGGAGGCUCGCGGCCGGAGCGGAGCGGAGUGCGCACGCCGGGGUGGCGGGACUUCGGCAAGACCAACUUUCCGAAUCUUCCCGCUACCCAGCCGCGGUUCUCCCGCGCGCCUCUAAUCGUGUAAGUUUCACGAAGCAACAGCUUUGGGCUCCAGGAAAAGCGCAGGAAAAUCAUACAGAGGAAGGAAGUGCACAGGUUGGAAUCAUCUCCAAAGAGACCCCGCCGUCACUUUUGCCACCCACCUCCCAACCAAUCCCUGAAGAAGCAAACGUAGGUUCCCGCGGCGUCCGAAGCCCCUCAGAGGAAGCCCGAGCCCGGCUCCCCGGCCGCCUCCUGGCCCGGUGUCACCGACUCCUCCUCUUUGGGCCGCUUUGCACGCACCGGCCCCACCUUUUUUGUUCCUAAAGCCAUUCGUCCGCCCGCCCCAGCCCCCCACUCUCUCUCCGACACACUGGCACGAUUUCCUUCGGGCUUUCCCGGACUCCUGAACGCCACUGCUUCAUUCCGUCGACUUGCUCUGCAUUUUCUCCGGUGUGCGGCCGUGGGGAGGAUCUUAAGUCCCUCCAGCGAAGGCGAAAGUGAGACCCCGGCCCUUUAUCUGUAAGAAGCGAGCCGUCAGAUUGCAGAGGUGUCGCGCCAGCCGCGCUGCGCGUUGUAAGUGCGGAGACCCAGCAGGCUGGGCUCGGCGCUGCGGUGGACGCGGUGCCUCCCCCCAAAGUGAGCGGCCGCGGAGCAGGACACGGAGCUCGCGGUCCGACCGGCCCGGCGUGGGGUGCGGCCCCCGCCCAGGGCGCGCGCGGUGGGGUCGCCUGGCCGAAGGUGCGGGCUGCACCUCGCCCCCCGCGCUCUCCGUGCUGGGAUUUCGUUGAGAAGAUGGAGCAAAGACUUGGGCGAAAGAGCCAGGGAAGCUGUGAAAGGGGCACCUACACAAAUUCCCCGCCACUGCCAGAAUGGUGCGGAUCAGUAAAUUGUGUGGCGCCCCUUUUAAAAAAUUGAUUCGGGUGUUCAAGGUCAAUAAAAUUAAAAAAAAAAAAAAGUAGAGGCCGAAAAUAAAAGGCGAGUUACCUCCUGAGUUACCUGUUCUCCCUUCCUCGCCUCCCUCCACUGAGGUCUGAAACUUUUCUUUAAUUGUUUUUAUUUAGUGCAGCCAGUUUUAAUGAAAGCAUAGCCGUCUAAAGUUUGAGUCCCAACAAUAGGUUUAUUGCCAGGCGACAACGUGUCAAGCAGAAUAUCUUCACAGAUGAGGUACAGGAUGUGUCCUCCAGUCACGCCCAGACUGGAGGACCCCCGGAGCUGUGCAUCAGAGGCGCAGACACCGAGUUGCACUGGCGACACACAAGUCCCUACCGUCACAUGACCACUGUCUAUUAAAAUAUUGUGAUA